UGCGGAGGGAUCAUUACCGAGUUUACAACUCCCAAACCCCUGUGAACAUACCAAUUGUUGCCUCGGCGGAUCAGCCCGCUCCCGGUAAAACGGGACGGCCCGCCAGAGGACCCCUAAACUCUGUUUCUAUAUGUAACUUCUGAGUAAAACCAUAAAUAAAUCAAAACUUUCAACAACGGAUCUCUUGGUUCUGGCAUCGAUGAAGAACGCAGCAAAAUGCGAUAAGUAAUGUGAAUUGCAGAAUUCAGUGAAUCAUCGAAUCUUUGAACGCACAUUGCGCCCGCCAGUAUUCUGGCGGGCAUGCCUGUUCGAGCGUCAUUUCAACCCUCAAGCCCCCGGGUUUGGUGUUGGGGAUCGGCGAGCCCUUGCGGCAAGCCGGCCCCGAAAUCUAGUGGCGGUCUCGCUGCAGCUUCCAUUGCGUAGUAGUAAAACCCUCGCAACUGGUACGCGGCGCGGCCAAGCCGUUAAACCCCCAACUUCUGAAUGUUGACCUCGGAUCAGGUAGGAAUACCCGCUGAACUUAAGCAUA
rnacentral:rRNA from 1 species